GCCAGAGUGAAAGAGUGAGAAACAAAAAUUCACCAGAAGCUCAGUCUUGAAUGGCAGCAUCUCCAGAGUUAUGGACUGAUACCACUGGCAAGAGAACAGCAUGGUAUUAGAAGACACUAGGGAGUGUAAAGAAAACAAGCAGGAACGGGAGAAGAAUAGCUCAAGAUAACCCAUUUUUCAGCAAACACUUGCGAGAGAAUGCCAGGACUAGAAAAGGCCUGAGAACCAGAAGAUCAAAAGGACUCUAGCCAUGUAAAAGGAAAUUCUCUUUCAAAAGGGGGGGGGUAGUCUUGGAGGGAGUUUUUUAGGGGGACCAGACUGACCCAGGAUGCUCCUGGGGAGUAAGGGAUGUCUGAAGAAGUUAGACUUCCCUAGUCACAGUCACAGGAUGUUAACUGAUUAUCCUCUUUCAAAAUCUUCCUCAAAACUUCCCUUUUCCAUGAUGUCUACAAAAAACUUGAUUAUGGUUAAGUUGCUGGUAUGCUGAGGCCAUUGCCAAUCAUGCUGACCAAUACUGUCUCAUUGUUUCUUUGUACUCCUUUAUCUGUCUAUAUCCACCUAUUGUCUGUUGUCUUAGAUAGUAAGCUCUUUGGACAGACGCUGUCUUUCUGGGCGGUGUUGGUACCACGUCUAGGACGAUGGGGUCGUGAUCCAGGACUAGGGAUUCUACACACUACUGUAAUACAAAUAAUUAUUACAAAUCUUUAGGUAAGAAAAAUAUGCAUCUCGUCACCAUAGACACCACUGGUCACACGCUCCUGAAGGAAAGAACUGCAUAUGCCAAACCCAGUCAGACCUGCUGGGUCAGCAGAGUUGAUAUGCAGAAUACUUGAGCCAAUGGCCCUAAGAGAAGGAGAAUUUUUUAAUUCCUCCCCAGUAGAGGUAAAGCCUUGAGGCCUGACACUGAAGGGUGCACCAGAAAGGGGACAGAGAUGUAGCUAGCCCUCAACCAUGACAGCUGUCUAAUGGAACUGUGGAUGUUCACUUUAAGUUCUUGGCCUCAGUGUCACCCAUUGACAGUAAGUUCCAAAGGUGAAGUAUAUUUUGUGUAAAAAAUCAUUUCCUAUAAUCAGUUUUAAAUUUGUUGCAUUUCAGUUUCUUUUAAUGUCCCUUUUUUUCCUAUGUUAUGAGCAGGGAUCCUAGUUUUUGGUGAUAAAAAUCCCCAAAUUCUCUGAUAAGAAACCAUAAAAAUCUGCAUUUUUUCAUGAAACAUCAAUUUCCCAUAUUCCUCUGUGUGUGUUGGUGGCACAGGGUUCUACUGUAUAUGUUUUUAUUUUUUCCACAAAAUGUAAAAACUAAAGUCUGUAAAAAUGCAAAUUUUGCAUUUUUCCAUGGCAAACAGAUUUCUAGGAUCCCUAGUUAUGAGGAGUACCUUAUUUAUCUUCUCUGUACUAGUCAUUAUUUUAUAUAUUUGUCACGUCUCCUCGUAUUCAUCUUUCACUAAACCAUACUGUCCCAGUCUUAUCACACUAGCUCCAGAUAGAAUUUUUUCCAGGUCCCUUAUAAUAUUCAUCCUCCAUCUUUGAACCUUUGCUAAGAUUUCUCUCAUUCUAAAAUAAAAUAAAAUAAAUAAAUAUGGAGAUACACCUAUCUCAUAGAACUGGAAGGGACCCUGAAAGGUCAUUGAGUCCAGCCCCCUGCCUUCACUAGCAGGACUAAGUACUGAUUUUCCCCUAGAUCCCUAAGUGACCCCCUCAAGGAUUGGUCUCACAACCCUGGGUUUAGCAGGCCAGUACUCAAACCACUGAGCUAUCCCUCUAUUUGAUUCAAAACAGAGUGGCCAAAAGCAAACACAGUAUUCCAGGCACUGUACCCUUCAAGGUGCUGAGCACUCUGGUUCCAAUCUAGCAAAGCACUCAAAUUAUGCUUAGCUUUAACCACUGACUUCAGUGGGACUCCUCACACAUUUACAGGUAAGCAGGUGCUUGAGUGCUUUGCUGCACUGGGGCCAGGGUGCUCAACACAUUACUGGCCUGAGCUCCAGGUGAGGAUUGUCCAUUGAUUUAUAUAAUGGUGUAAUAUUUCACUAUUUCCAGUCCCAUUCAUUAAAACAUUGUUUGCUUUUUUGACUGCUACUGCAUAUUGAACAGCAGACUUCCUUGCGCUGUCCACAUUGAUGCCCGUCUCCUUUUG